rnacentral:rRNA from 1 species
AUGAUCCCUGCUCCUUCAGCUCGACUUCGCCGGUGUCGUCAGUCCACAGGAGUAGGAGCGUCAUGCCCGGCAACAAACAAGAACAGAAGAUACAUGACUUAUGAGGCUACCAGAGGCUACUACACCUCCAGAUUAUUGACAGCCUGCAACUUACUUGCUUCCAACAUGAUAGUAACACAUUCUAAGGUUCGUAAUCGGCUACUUCAGAACGCUGUUGCUAUUCUGUGGGUAAAGGUCCUCAUUUUGUUGAUGGUGGCAUCUUACAAAGAAAAGGAAGUUCGAGAUGGGAACACUUGUUUCAAAUGCUCUCCUCUCAUUCGCGAUGCUGCCAACAAGGAAAACCUCUGGGAAGCUCUGCUGUACAAACACAUCAGCACAGUGAGUAAGGAUAUGGCACCUUGGGGAAUAAUGCCUACAAAGCAAGCCCGGGAUGACGAUGCUGAUCACUAG